rnacentral:tRNA from 1 species
GGGAGUGUAGCUCAGUGUUAGAGUACUCCUAGCAUGUAUGAAACCCUGGAUUUUAAUCCCAGCACUACCA